AUGGGCCGGUGGGGGAUGAAGCUCGGCGACAUGGCCGAGUUCCAGUGCUUCGUCUGCAAGGACGCCGGCGACGUCCGCGUGUGCGACGCCAGGAACUGCCUCAAGAGCUACCACCCGGGCUGCGUGGGGAAGGAGGACGACUUCAUUGAUUCCAGUGACCAAUACGUUUGUGAUUGGCAUAAAUGUUCUAAUUGUGGAAGUGAUGCACUCUAUUUAUGCUUAUGCUGUCCAAGUUCCUCUGCUUGUGGAGACUGCUUUGGAAAAGUUGAUUUUGUCCCAGUGAAGCAGAGCAACGAAUUCAACAUGGGAUUCUGCCGCAGCUGUUUUAAUAUGGCAAUAGCGACUGAGAAAGAUGAUGCUGAAGAGGCAAAGGUUGUUUUCGGAGGUACCCCGGAGCACUAUCAAAUAUUGUUUAAAGAUUACUGGACAAUACUUAAUGACAAGGAGUGUUUUACAUUGCUCGACUUGCAACUAGCAAGUAUUCGUCAUAAAAGAAGCCUACAGUGUAAAGAAGGGAAGGAUUCGGACGAGUAUCACAAGACAGAUGGAAAGCCAUUGGGUGACAAUGAUGGUGCUGGUCCAUCAUCUCUUCUUGACACAAUGGACAAACCAAAUGAAGUGCAAGCAACUCUGAAGAGAAAGAAACUGGAGAAGAGAACAUAUGUUGGGUGGGGUUCAAAAGAGCUAACAGAAUUCCUAUCAUGUAUUGGUAAGGAUGCAAGCACGCCUCUUGACCAUUUCAAAGUUGCUGAAGUUGUCAGGGAGUAUGUUCGACAGAACAAUCUUCUAGAUGGUAAGAAGAAGAAAUCUGUCAUGUGUGAUGAGAACCUGCAUUCUUUAUUUAACAAAAGGAAAUUUAAGUACAACAUGAUCCAUAGCCUGGUGGAAACGCAUCUUUCCGCAAAUGCGAUUUCAGAGGAUGAAAGUGAUGGAUCUGUGGAUGAUAAUGGUUACACGGUGAAAAAGAAGCCUCGGAAUAGUUUGGAGCCAAAAAUACCUAAGAGUGUUUCAGGAAUAGACCCAAUAAUUCCUAAGAGUGUUUCAGGAAUAAACAAGAAAUGUCUUGCUGCUCUCAAUCCGAAUAACCUGAAUCUGAUUUAUCUGAGAAGAACCUUAGUUGCAAAACUUCUGACUGAGCCAGACACAUUUGAACAGAAGGUUAUUGGCUGUUUGGUCAGAGUGAAGAAUGAUCUCAAGAGUUAUACUUAUAUGAUGACUAAGAAAUAUUACCAGAUUGGACUAGUUACAGGCAUUAAGAAAUCUUCAGAAGAAUACAAGAUUAAGAAUACAUGUACAGAUGUUCUUUUAUGUGUUUCCGGUAUGUGGGAUGAUGUCAAGAUCUCAAUGCUAUCAGAAGAGGACUUUGAGGAGGAUGAGUGCAAUGAUCUUCUGAAGUCGGCCAAGAAAGAGCUCUUCAAAAGGCCUACUGUGGCUGAGUUAGAGGAAAAAGAGGCAAGUGUACAUGCAGACAUAGUAAAUCAUUGGUUUCAUAAGGAGCUUCGAAAAUUGGAAAUGGAGUUGGAACGAGCGCGUGAGAAGGGGUGGCGCCAGGAUAUCCAUGACAUAAGUUGUCAAAAAAUGCUUCUAAGCACACCAGAAGAAAGACAGCGCCGUCUUGAGGCGAUCCCGGAAGUUAUUCCAGAUGCUGAAGAGGAGAGUAAAGAAACUGGGAUUGAAUCAGCAGCGAACAUUCCUUUUCAAGGGAAUCGAGAAGAAAGACAGCGACGUCUUGAGGUGAUCCCCGAAGUUAUUCCAGAUGCAGAAGAAGGGAGUAAAGAAACUGAGAUUGAAUCAGCAGCAAGGAGCCCUUUUCAAGGGAAUCGAGGUGUGAUACAGACAGUAGCUGACCCUUCGGAAGUUGGCAUAGAUGAAUCGCUAGAAGGUGCAUCUCUGCGACAUGACGCUGCUUGUGAAGUUGCUUUUGAAGCUACCGGCAAAGCCCUCUGCAAUGGUGGCACUCCUGGUCCUGGAUUGCACACUCCAUUGAACAAAGCUGCCGGCAAAGCCCUCUGUAGUGGUGGCACUCCUGGUCCUGGAUUGCACACUCCAUUGAACACAGCUGCCGGCAAAGCCCUCUGUAAUGGUGGCAGUCCUGGUCCUGGAUUGCACACUCCAUUGAACACAGUUAUUGCAGUUACUGGAGUCAUUGAUAUCGACAACGAGGAGGAUGGAAAUGGUCCUAGCCAUCACAGUGGUUGUGACAAACAAGAUAUCAUCGAUCUGGUCAGUGAUGACGACGAGGAUGUUCAAAUGGAGCAGCGUGAGCCAGAACAGGCAAAAUGUGAUGGACCAGAAGCCGUUAAUGGGAUCGCUGCGCAUGCACAUGACGGACCGGAAGCCGUCAAUGGGGUCACCGUACCUACAGUCCGUGCUUCCAAUGAUCUGGAUGGAAACACGGGGCCUGCAUGCAGUACGUCACAGGCCAUGGCGCGUGAUCCCGUAACCGUGAAUGGGACAGGCAAGUCAGAUCAAGGGUGGCUGUACAAGGAUCUUCAGGGGCGAGAGCAUGGGCCAUACCCAAUGGCUCAAAUGCGGGAGUGGCAGCAAAGUGGGUACUUCCCUGAGGGCUUCCGCGUGUGGAGAGCAGGGAAAUCAAGGCGGGGGAGAGGCUACAUGUUGCUGAUAGAUGCCAUGCGGCUGCACUAG
rnacentral:rRNA from 1 species